UCUAAGCACACAAAAUUUUCAGCAAUGGAUAAUCCAAAAAGCUCUCAACUCAAAGAAUCUCCGUUAGGUAUAGACGAAGAAACAGAACAACAAUACGCACUUCACUCUAGCCUACUUCAAUAAUUCACCGCAAUCUCUUCUAUCGACAAGGCUUGGAUUUUCAAAUCAGACUCAGAUUCUUCACAGGGAAUGAUGUUUUCCGUUAGUCAACCGAAUCUUCUGGCUAACAAGAAACGGAAGUUGAUUCUAUCGUCUACCGUUACUAAACGGAGUGACGGUUCUGUUAAUUUACAGUGGGCUCCGUUUCCGGUUGAGGUGUCUGGAGUUUCCGCUAUGGUUCUGUCACCUUCUAGUUCGAAGCUUUUGAUUGUUCGAAAUCCUGAGAGUGAUGGUCCUUCUCGGUUUGAAAUUUGGAGCAACAGUUAUCUUGAAAGGGAGUUUCAUUUACCUCAAUCCAAACAUGGUUCUGUGUACACUGAUGGAUGGUAAACUUACUAUCAUCACUACUUCACUUGUCAUUGUUUUCUUUUGUCAUUUGAUUUAUGAUUUGAAUGAUUUAUUUGCAGCUUAGAAUAUAAGCCUUAUGCAUAAACUAUUUCUAUAAAUAAAAUGUCAACUAAAGUUAAAUGGUUUUCAUAUAAGCUACAAGCUAUUUUCGUAAGCCAUCUUGGAGAGCUUAUGAAUGUCAACUGAAAAUAGCUUAUUAGUACUCCCUCUGGUCCUAUUUAUAAGAAGAAAUUUGCUUUUUAGAUACAUUGAGUAACUAAUGUAUCAAGACAAUAUAUGGGUCAAAUACAUUGUCUUUUCAAUGAAUCUAAAAAGUAAAGUUUUUCUUAUAAAUAGGACCAGAGGGAGUAUAUCAUAAGUUGUGUAUUCAUAAGUUCUUCCAAACAGUCUCACAAGUAUGAGUUAUAAAAGUAGAUAGCUGAAAUAAGUCAAUUCAAAUAGGUCGAUAACUGGAAACUUAUAGUUUUGAUAUGUCACUUGUUUUUACUUGUUUGCGACCUCUGCGGGAGGUAAUACUAAAAACCGUUCAGGCCAUAACAGGCCUUGUUCAAUAUAUGUUGUUAAAGCACCGCACAAAUCAAAAACCAAUGAAAAUGAGAUCCACUCAAGUGAAAAUGCUCAGGAGCUUAACCUUACUCAAACCAUAAGUAGUGCUUUCCUUCCACGGUUCAGGUAAGUUGAUACUCACAUUCCUAAAUGCUAAAUAAGUUCUCAGUUUUCAUCGCAUGAUCUAGUUCAACAAGUAAUUACUAAUAGGUGUGGGAAUAUGAUUUCUACAAAUUUGAUUCUAGUUCAAAUCCUUAUAGGUAUCCCAAAAUUCAACCUUAUAGGUAUCCUUCUUAUUGUCACAACUCAAUUAUUUGCGUAUGGGUUGGUUGGUGCAUUGGAUUAAGGAAUAGCCUGUUCUGUUUCAGAAUAUAGGGCACAACUAUAUGCUUAUCUCAAGAGUUGGAUGAACACCAUAGCACCCAAUUUGACUGCUAUGGUUGGGGAGCUUGUCGGCGCUCGUCUCAUUGCCCAUGGUGGUAGCUUAAUAAAUCUUGCAAAGCAGCCUGGUAGUACUGUGCAGAUUCUCGGUGCUGAGAAGGCUCUUUUUAGGGCACUUAAGACUAAACAUGCUACUCCAAAGUAUGGCCUCAUUUACCAUGCAUCCUUGAUUGGUCAGGCAACUCCAAAGUUCAAGGGCAAAAUUUCUCGAUCACUUGCUGCAAAGACUGCUUUGGCUAUCAGGUGUGAUGCACUUGGAGAUGGGCAAGAUAACACCAUGGGAUUGGAGAACAGAGCCAAGGUUGUCUCGGAUGAAGCAAGAGCAAUGUAUAAUGGAGGAGCAGCAGGGUUAACAUAUUGGAGUCCAAAUGUGAAUAUUUUCAGAGACCCUAGGUGGGGUCGUGGACAGGAAACUCCCGGUGAAGAUCCUGUGAAAGAGGUUUGACUUUCUCUCUUUUGUCCAAAGUACUUGGAUGCCAUUUUUACAGUUCUUUACAUAGUUCUCAUUUUUACAGUUCUUUACACCCACAUACUCUUUUUGUUAGUCAUGCUGAUGUGGCAGCAGAAGGGAGAAGCUAGAGAUAUACAUAUAUCUCCCCCUACCUUUAGGUUGGAAGGUUACAAUGUUUUAGUACAAGAUAUAAAAUAUUUUGAUUAGGAUGGCCUAACCUUAAGUUGUUUACCACUCUGACAGGUUUUUCUCGGAAGUUGUUUACCACUCUGACAGGUUUUUCUCGGAAGUUGUUUACCACUCUGACAGGUUUUUCUCUUCUAAAUAUUUGUUCCGUUUAAAGAAUAUUUUAGAAGUAUCAAGUACAUAUCUUUGUGCUUAUCUAUCUUACAAAACUUGACAGGACCUUAAAAAAGAGAGAUAAUGAAAAUAAGCUGAAAACAAUUUAUCGAUUAGGCUUACGGUGAGAAUUGAAUGGAUUCUUCAACUGAUUUAGAAUUUCUAGCUACAUUCUCGCCAUCUCGUUGAGCCAGACCUCAGUAUACUCCCUCUCUUUUCCCUUACUGUUUGAUUGCUUUUCAUUGUUCUUGUCAGUCUUUGUGUUGUUCAAUUGGUUUUGAUUUGAAUAUUUUCUCUCCGUGUUGCAUUUGGUUAAUGUUUUUUUUUGGUUGGAAACAGCUAUUCAGGCGAGGUUGCAAAUGGUGAUGGAGGUUAGGGAUAGUCUUGAAAUUGCUCAUCCUGCGAAUUCUGGUUCUCCAUAGGAUUCAUUUUCUUCAGCACUCCCACUUCCUUUAUAUCUUUCUUUUGAAAGUGAACACACAGAGGAACGCUUCAAUAUGCCGCUCAGUUUGGAUAUGCCAAUCACAACCAAAACGCAUAACACGUUCUGUGAGCCUUGAGGUAAUCAUCUCACUUAAGCAUGUUACGUAAUAAUUCGUUACAUUGCUAAUUAAUAAUUAAUUUUAUAACUAAUAAUAUGAAUUAUCUGUAUUACAGUAUAGGACAUCCAUAUUUUGCACUAAGGUUCUAUCAUGAAGCUUAUCAGGUGAAUGAAUACAUGAUAGGUACUUUUAUUCUAUGUUUGUUGAGGAUGAUUGUUGUUAUCAGUUGUAACUUAGAAAUUUCUUCAACUUCACCAUGUUGGACAAAUUCAGAAUGUGAUGUUAAAAGUUUCUGUUAGACCUCUCAUAAAAAAUAUGGAUAAAAAGGAUUGGGGUCGAAAUUGCUCACGAGAUAGUUUAGUUUAGUGGGCAGUUAUGUAUUUCUUUAGCAGUUAUGUCUUUUAUAUUUCAGCAGUUAUUUGGAACGGAGAUAUUCAAGACACUCAAAUUUUUGGAAGGAACCGAACUGUCUAUUAUGUUUCUGUGUCCUUUUUCACUCAUGUUCAUUCAUGUGUUUUUCAGCAUGUUGGGUUUUGGAGAAAUAAUGGAGAAGAAGAAGAAGAAGAAGAAGAAGAAGAAGAAGAAGAAGAAGAAGAAGAAGAAGAAGAAGAAGAAGAAGAAGAAGAAGCAAUUACAGCUAAAACUGGAAGUACUCAAAACCUUCUCAAUGCUGAGGUUAGUUAAGCUCUUAUUAACUAAGCACUUAUUAUAUAAUUCUUCUAGGUUAGUUUCUAUUACUAAAGUAUGAGUUGUUGUGAAUUUUUUCAUUGAAAUAAGUUGGAAACAAAACAGUUUAUGAACAUGUUAAACAUAAGCUCUUUCUAUUAAUUAUUGAAUUUUGUGGCUUCAGAUCUUAAUUUUAAUAAUGUGUGCACUUUUUUAAUUGUGUUUGCAAUGUUGAACUGGAGCCUAUAAUUGUGUUCCCCUCGCUAUCCACUGCUGUAAUUUUAAUGCGGCAAUUGGACGUCGGGGAACUAAAUUUUUAACAUAGUUUAGCUUUUGUAGAUAAUGAUGAAGAUAAAUAUUUAAUCCAACACUUGAUCUGAUUUUUGUGAUGCUAAAUAUAUUAUGUUUCUUUUUUUUGGUAAUAAAUAUAUUAUGUUUCUGAAUCUACACUAGUGAAACUUUUGUCCAAUAAUUGUGAUGCUAAAUAUAUUUAUAUGUUUCUAUAAUUAUAAUUUCACAAUCUAAUCCAAUUUAUAAAAUACAUCAUGGGAUGAGCUUGGAAUAAAUCUUAGGACACCUUCCUACACAACAUAUGUUGUGGAUGAGAUGAAUUAUCCUUACUGAUGAUGCACCUAUUUUAAACGAGUUUCUCAUUUAAAUGUCAUUUUCAUUUGAUUUCUUUGUAAUUUUUUCUAGAUACUGGCCUUCAUAGCUAAGGAAAUUGUUCCUUUGCAGGAACUAAGUGGAAGUAAAUUGCAAAGUGGCUCAAAUGCUAUACCACUAGUUUAUCAUGAGGUACACCUCUUUCUUUAUCAUGUGGAACUAAGUUGAUGAUAACAGCAAUUUCUACUUUCAUAUAGAUUGUGAUUAGUAACUAUUUGCUUCUUAAGUAUUCUCCAACAGGUUGUAGUAGUGAUGCACGAUGUUUCUAGCUGCUAUCCAUUUAUUUUGUGUGUGCUGAUUUGAUUUGAGUUAAGAGUGAACUAAAUGGAUGCUCAUGCAAUUCUGUUAACAUUUGUUGGAUAGCUUGCAAACCUUUGUGUCAACAAUAUUCUUUGCUUUUGAUUCAAAGAGUUGGGAGGGAGUCACAUGUGAUCAUGUGACAAAGUCUAUCAACCAAGUAAAUCUCACCAAUUUUGGACUAAAAGGUACGCUUCAGAGUCUCAAUUUCCCGGUUCUGUUACGGUUUCGAUAAAUAACCACAUGAGCCAUGAGGUGCUGAAUCAGUUAGAUUAUUCAUUGUUCCACUCUUUGUUUCAACUAGUUUAAUAGGUAUGUGACUUUGAAGAUUUUUUUGUGACUUUGAAGAUUUUUUUUGUGACUUUGAGGAUUCAAGAAGGGAUUCCCUACUAAGAUUCCAAAUGCUAGAGUUGAA